GAUGAACGCUGGCGGCGUGCUUAACACAUGCAAGUCGAACGAGAAGUGGAGACGGAAACCUUCGGACGGAAGACUUUAUUUCGAGUGGCGGACGGGUGAGUAACGCGUGGGUAACCUGCCUCAUACAGGGGGAUAACAGUUGGAAACGACUGUUAAUACCGCAUAAGACCACAGCACCGCAUGGUGCGGGGGUAAAAACUCCGGUGGUAUGAGAUGGACCCGCGUUCGAUUAGCCAGUUGGCGGGGUAACGGCCCACCAAAGCGACGAUCGAUAGCCGAUCUGAGAGGAUGACCGGCCACAUUGGGACUGAGACACGGCCCAAACUCCUACGGGAGGCAGCAGUGGGGAAUAUUGCACAAUGGGGGAAACCCUGAUGAAGCGACGCCGCGUGAGUGAAGAAGUAUUUCGGUAUGUAAAGCUCUAUCAGCAGAGAAGAAAAUGACGGUACCUGAGUAAGAAGCCCCGGCUAACUACGUG
rnacentral:rRNA from 1 species